UUACAGCAUCAUCCCUAGAUCCCACUGGCUGCCCUCUGGGAUCACUCUGUGUUUCAGUGAAAGAAAUCAAACAGUGCUGUCUCUUAAUUACAUAAUCAGGAUAAAUAAUAGGAAGAAUCACUUGAUGGGAAUUCCAAUGGAGAAAAUGGGAGUGAAGUAGGAAGUACAGGUAUCAGGAAACAACAGAUGAACAUCUCCCAUGUCCCUGCAUUUGAGGAAUGAGGAGCAAACAGAUUUGAAGGAUGAACAGACACUCCAGCCAACUCUUCUGAGAAGACUGGGGAUUCUGCCUCUGCAAUGGCAAGAGAAAUGGAUUAUUGAAACAGGAACUGUAGCACCUGUGCUCUUGGCUCAUCAAAGGAAGCAAUACUAG
rnacentral:lncRNA from 1 species